rnacentral:tRNA from 1 species
GGAGGGGUACUCAUGCGGCCAACGAGGGCAGACUGUAAAUCUGCUGGCUUAUGCCUACGUAGGUUCGAAUCCUACCCCCUCCACCA